ACUCCUACGGGAGGCAGCAGUGGGAAUAUUGCACAAUGGCGCAAGCCUGAUGCAGCCAUGCCGCGUGUGUGAAGAAGGCCUUCGGGUUGUAAAGCACUUUCAGUCGUGAGGAAAGGUGAGUGUAGUUAAUAGCUUGCUAUUAUUUGACGUUAGCGAACAAGAAGAAGCGACCGGCUAACUCCGUGCCAGCAGCCGCGGUAAUACGGAGGGUGCGAGCGUUAAUCGGAAUUACUGGGCGUAAAGCGCAUGCAGGUGGUUUGUUAAGUCAGAUGUGAAAGCC
rnacentral:rRNA from 1 species